rnacentral:rRNA from 1 species
AGAGUUUGAUCAUGGCUCAGGACGAACGCUGGCGGCGUGCUUAACACAUGCAAGUCGAACGGAAGGGCCCCAGCUUGCUGGGGUACUCGAGUGGCGAACGGGUGAGUAACACGUGGGUGAUCUGCCCUGCACUCUGGGAUAAGCCUGGGAAACUAGGUCUAAUACCGGAUAGGACCGUGCUUUAGUGUGUGCGGUGGAAAGUUUUUCGGUGCAGGAUGAGCCCGCGGCCUAUCAGCUUGUUGGUGGGGUAAUGGCCUACCAAGGCGGCGACGGGUAGCCGGCCUGAGAGGGUGUACGGCCACAUUGGGACUGAGACACGGCCCAGACUCCUACGAGAGGCAGCAGUGGGGAAUACUGCACAAUGGGCGCAAGCCUGAUGCAGCGACGCCGCGUGGGGGAUGACGGCCUUCGGGUUGUAAACCCCUUUCGGCAGGGACGAAGCUUUUGUGACGGUACCUGCAUAAGAAGCACCGGCUAACUACGUGCCAGCAGCCGCGGUAAUACGUAGGGUGCGAGCGUUGUCCGGAAUUACUGGGCGUAAAGAGCUCGUAGGUGGUUUGUCGCGUCGUCUGUGAAAUCCCGGGGCUUAACUCCGGGCGUGCAGGCGAUACGGGCAUAACUUGAGUGCUGUAGGGGAGACUGGAAUUCCUGGUGUAGCGGUGAAAUGCGCAGAUAUCAGGAGGAACACCGAUGGCGAAGGCAGGUCUCUGGGCAGUAACUGACGCUGAGGAGCGAAAGCAUGGGUAGCGAACAGGAUUAGAUACCCUGGUAGUCC